AGCGAACGCUGGCGGCAUGCCUAACACAUGCAAGUCGAACGAGAUCUUCGGGUCUAGUGGCGCACGGGUGCGUAACGCGUGGGAAUCUGCCCGUUGGUUCGGAAUCACAGUUGGAAACGACUGCUAAUACCGGAUGAUGACGAAAGUCCAAAGAUUUAUCGGCAGAGGAUGAGCCCGCGUAGGAUUAGCUAGUUGGUGUGGUAAAGGCGCACCAAGGCGACGAUCCUUAGCUGGGCUGAGAGGAUGAUCAGCCACACUGGGACUGAGACACGGUCCAGACUCCUACGGGAGGCAGCAGUGGGGAAUAUUGGACAAUGGGCGAAAGCCUGAUCCAGCAAUGCCGCGUGAGUGAUGAAGGCCUUAGGGUUGUAAAGCUCUUUUACCCGGGAUGAUAAUGACAGUACCGGGAGAAUAAGCUCCGGCUAACUCCGUGCCAGCCGCCGCAGUAA
rnacentral:rRNA from 1 species